rnacentral:rRNA from 1 species
UACGUAGGGUGCGAGCGUUGUCCGGAAUUACUGGGCGUAAAGAGCUCGUAGGUGGUUUGUCGCGUUGUCCGUGAAAACUCACAACUCAAUUGUGGGCGUGCGGGCGAUACGGGCAGACUGGAGUACUGCAGGGGAGACUGGAAUUCCUGGUGUAGCGGUGAAAUGCGCAGAUAUCAGGAGGAACACCGAUGGCGAAGGCAGGUCUCUGGGCCGAUACUGACGCUGAGGAGCGAAAGCGUGGGGAGCGAACAGG